rnacentral:rRNA from 1 species
GACAGAGGGUGCAAACGUUGUUCGGAAUUACUGGGCGUAAAGCGCGUGUAGGCGGCUAAGUAAGUCGGGCGUGAAAUCCCACGGCUCAACCGUGGAAGUGCACUCGAAACUGCAUAGCUAGAGUCCUGGAGAGGAAGGUGGAAUGCUUGGUGUAGAGGUGAAAUUCGUAUAUAUCAAGCGGAACACCGGUGGCGAAGGCGGCCUUCUGGACAGUGACUGACGCUGAGACGCGAAAGCGUGGGGAGCAAACAGG